rnacentral:rRNA from 1 species
GAAGACUCUGCUUGACUAGCUGAGAGGAGGUGCAUGGCCGUCGUCAGUUCGUACUGUGAAGCAUCCUGUUAAGUCAGGCAACGAGCGAGACCCACGCCAACAGUUGCCAGCAUGUCCUCCGGGAUGAUGGGGACACUGUUGGGACCGCCUCUGCUAAAGAGGAGGAAGGAAUGGGCAACGGUAGGUCAGCAUGCCCCGAAUUAUCCGGGCUACACGCGGGCUACAAUGGUCAGGACAAUGGGUAUCGACACCGAGAGGUGGAGGCAAUCUCCUAAACCUGUCCUUAGUUCGGAUUGUGGGCUGCAACUCGCCCACAUGAAGCUGGAAUCCGUAGUAAUCGCGUUUCAAAAUAGCGCGGUGAAUAUGUCCCUGCUCCUU